UUUCCGUAGGUGAACCUGCGGAAGGAUCAUUAUUGUAUAACCGAGGUGCGAGGGCUGUCGCUGACCCGAAAGGUCGUGCACGCCCGAGUGCCCUCACACACAUCCAUCUCACCCCUAUGUGGACCACCGCGUGGGUCCCCCUUUGGCUUGUUCGGAGGGGGGCUUACGUUUUCACACAAACUUUGUAUGCAGUGUAGAAUGUAUUUUUUGUUUUUGCGAUCACGCAAUCAAUACAACUUUCAACAACGGAUCUCUUGGCUCUC
rnacentral:misc_RNA from 1 species